rnacentral:rRNA from 1 species
UGAGACCGUGAGUCUCCUGAAGGGACGUUGAAGACGACGACGUUGAUAGGCCGGGUGUGUAAGCGCAGCGAUGCGUUGAGCUGACCGGUACUAAUGACCCGAGAGGCUUAACCUUACAACGCCAAAG